UACGUAGGGGGCUAGCGUUGUCCGGAAUCAUUGGGCGUAAAGCGCGUGUAGGCGGUCCGGUAAGUCCGCUGUGAAAGUCGGGGGGCUCAACCCUCGGAUGCCGGUGGAUACUGUCGGGCUUGAGUACGGGAAGAGGCGAGUGGAAUUCCUGGUGUAGCGGUGAAAUGCGCAGAUAUCAGGAGGAACACCAGUGGCGAAGGCGGCUCACUGGCCCGGUACUGACGCUGAGGUGCGAAAGCGUGGGGAGCAAACAGG
rnacentral:rRNA from 1 species